rnacentral:lncRNA from 1 species
UAUCAGCUGCUAUAAUUUUCUCUUUCGUUUGAUUCACAUCUUCAGACAUCUGCAACGCUGCCAGUUCUGGCCCUCUAGACUCUGUGAGGAAGCCACUAAGGCCACUGUCCCUUCAGGAGACACAAACACAUGGAUGGCAUCAUGCUGCAGGAGACUUUCAGAGCUUAGUCUAUGGAGAAAAUGCUGAAUGGUGCAAGGCUGCAUCUUUUCUCCUCCUGAACCUGUUUCAUAUGAAUCGAUUCUAGGAUCACCAGUCUGUCCCCACAGUCAUCCUGCCAUCUGCUAGGCUUGGUAGCUGUUGCCGGAACACUUAGGAUCCUUCCCUAAGAUGUCUAGAGUGUCGUCACAACAGAUGUUUAACCAUCAAAUUCCACACAUGUUGCCUAGGGCGGCACAGAUGGGGAUAACAAAAGAUCAUGGCAUUAAUGAGGUAGAAAAGCCAUUUCUGAAUUGCGAGGGCUCUAGUCUCAGGAUGGCCUCCUAACACAGCAGCACUCCCAAGAAAGAAGUGCCUACUACAUUUCAAACCCUUCAACUUUAAUCUCAUCGACAAUUUUCAUGUGUUCUCCUUAAAGAGCAUUAUGAGCAUACACCUCCCAAAUGACAGUACGAAAACCUAGUCAGCUACAGAAAGCUUGGCCAUUGAUAAGAAGAUGUAUUCCCCUUCAAGAA